rnacentral:rRNA from 1 species
AGCAGCCGCGGUAAUUCCAGCUCCAAUAGCGUAUAUUAAAGUUGUUGCAGUUAAAAAGCUCGUAGUUGAAUUUCGGGAUCAAUUCGUCGGUCGUGCUUUUUGGUACGUACUGGUGUUAUUGGUUUCUCCCUUCUGACGAACCAUGAUGUCAUUAAUUUGGUGUUAUGGGGAGUUAGGACUGUUACUUUGAAAAAAUUAGAGUGUUUAAAGCAGGCAUUAGCUUGAAUACAUUAGCAUGGAAUAAUGAAAUAGGACGUUCGAACCUAUUUUGUUGGUUUCUAGGAUCAACGUAAUGAUUAAUAGGGAUAGUUGGGGGCAUUAGUAUUCAAUUGUCAGAGGUGAAAUUCUUGGAUUUAUUGAAGACUAACUACUGCGAAAGCAUUUGCCAAGGAUGUUUUCAUUAAUCAAGAACGAAAGUUAGGGGAUCGAAGACGAUCAGAUACCGUCGUAGUCUUAACCAUAAACUAUGCCGACUAGGGAUCGGAUGAUGUUAAUUUUUUAAUGACUCAUUCGGCGCCUU